CCUGGAUCGAGUAAGGAGACAUAUUGAGGAAGGAAAGGACUUGCAUCGCGAACCAGUUCUGAUUGACUUGUGGAAGAGAUAAUGCUGAUGAUGCUGCUGAUGAUGAUGGCGUCAGCGAGUUUAACCAGGAUCGAGUAAAGAGACAUAUUGAGGAAGGAAAGGACUUGCAUCGCGAACCAGUUCUGACUGACUUGUGGAAGAGAUAAUGCUGAUGAUGCUGCUGAUGAUGAUGGCGUCAGCGAGUUUAACCAGGAUCGAGUAAGGUGACAUAUUGAGGAAGGAAAGGACCUGCAUCGCGAACCAGUUCUGA
rnacentral:lncRNA from 1 species